rnacentral:lncRNA from 1 species
CGUGCCUCUUUGUUUUUAUGUUUGCAGUCACACGACUUUGUUCUUGCUGAGGAUUUUUGUUUUUGAUUCCUCUUCUACUUUUUUUUUGUUUUUCGACUUCCCUAAUUUUGCCUGGACUAUUUUUUUUUGCUUAUAGUCCAACAUGAUACCCUAAUUUUUGCCUAAGCCACUUGUUUUCAAGUUUCGACUUAGCGGGCUUUUUCUCUCUCUUUUUUUUUUAGAGUUUUUUUGUGUGGAACAAAUCGUGUGACGUUUGCUUAUUUUGUUUGAAAGGAUUUGUGACUGUCUCACUUGUUUUGUUGGCGAGGGACAACCAUUGGAUUUGUGAUUUCGACCUCUCGUGAGGGAAAAUAUGUGGUUGUCCUUUAGGAAAAACACUCCCUAGGAUGUGGUUGAUCCUCAAAUGGGACACUCCCUACUUUGUCUUUUAAGAAUUGAACGCAUGGUUAAAUUAGCUGAAGACUACCCUGCCCCGGGUUUAAGAUGUGAGGGUUUCUCUGCUUGGAAGAAAACUCCUACUUCUAGGCUCAAAGGGGUUGACUAGGGAUUAUCA